UAAACUAUUUAUUCUACCAACACGGAUGAGAAAAUAGAAAGAGGAUGAGAAGGUUUCCAAAAGAAAUUUUCGGCUGAAAUUAUUAAUUUUCCAACAUGCCGAGCAUUUUAGACUUGAAAUGGGAAUAUGAUUGACUGAUUCAUCCAAAUAAAUAAAUAAUAAUAAAUCUUCCGUUUACCAAUUAUCAAUAAAUGCACCAAUUGCAUCAAUUGUAGGUUACAUACUUAGUACGUGCCGUUAGGUGUGAAUGUUUUUGUGGUUUCUCCAGGUCUUGAGGCGAGAGCAGCAGGCUCAGCAGAGGGUGCACAGCGUGUUCAUAGCUCAGCUCAGAGAGUGCACAAGACUACUCUGCAAGGCUCACGACAACAAUCUCCAACAGAGUUUGACCCAGCGGCUGAGCGCCCUGGUAGAGGAGAUGGGAGAGCUGGUGUCAGCAGAGUGCCAGCGUCAGGGGGCCUGGGGGUUUCUGGGGGAGGGUACGGGGGCCAAGCUGCUCUGCCCUGACUCUGGAACCGUGCUGACCAAGGACCACAUCUUUGGUGAUGAUAUUAAAAAAACUCUUGCCUUGAAUUUUAGAAAAACAGCACCACCCGUUGCUUAAAAAUGUGCACUACAAGAAAAAAUGUAGAUAAAAGAAGUACACAAUUCUGUUCUGCAAUCAGCAAUCAUGCGAAUAUGCCCACAUGUUCCCAGUUUAGGGACAUACGUCCAAUUUUUACGGUACUGAAAACAUGCAUACCUAAUUAGCUAAUUCAAAAAGUAUAUUCCAAAAGUGGCUCUCCCACUGUAAUAUAGAGGUGUACAUAAACAAUAAAGACACAUAACCCUUUCACUUGACUAAACUUCAUCAAUCCAUUUAAAAACAAAUGAACAGUAAAAGCUGUCCACGCUUCAUGUGUCAUCUGUCAUAAUCAUCCACUGUUUGAUGAUCAAUCUUUUCCCGCCUUCCUUCAGCUCCUGAUGGAUCCAUGCAUCCUUGCAGGGCCCUUCAUUGGGAUUCAGUCACAGGGCUCUUAAGGCCGAAUGCUCACAGCCACAUGCUGCUGAGCAGCGGCCACAACGUGGCAGUGCCACCUGAUUUCUUCAUCAACCCACAGACCGGCAGAGUGAUGCCCAUAGCGGGCAACGUGGCCUACGACCCCGCAAGCUCUACUCUGGUUUCAACCACAGGCUCGUGUUCAGGAGACAGCAGGAAGUGGGACAGUCCCCUCCUUCCUUUCCUUCCUUACCCAACCUCCAGCCACUCAGAACAGCCUCUGUCCAACACUCGUCUUAGAGGCCUCAGGCCGGGCCAGCAGCUGCAACUGGGAGUUCCCAUGGCGGACCCGGACACAGGAGUGCCAGUGCCAAUUCUGGCUGUGACCAUCCACCCCCAGACAGGACUCGUCUACCCACUGGGCGGGGUGCACGUCUGUCCCCUCACCCGCCUGCUGCAGCCCAUACAGAUUGGCUACCCCAUGCUGGACUCCAAAACGGGGAACGUUGUGCUCACUGUUGGGGUCAGUCUGGAUCCAGCAUCAGGAGAGAUGCCUCUCCCAGGUUCAGAUGUGUGUGUGCCCGCUCUGCUGGGGAUGGAGUACCCUGACCCCAUGGGAUCUGGUCUGAGUGUGCCCGUGCUGGGGGGUCAGGCAGACUUUGUCUCUGGAAAAAUAAUACCGCUGGCCGGUACCAUGGAGGACCCCGAUGGAAAAGGCCUGGUGGCUAUCUGUUACGCUUCUCAGACUGUGGACCCGGUGACUGGGGUGUUGACCCCAGUGGUUGGAGCCAGGUUGGAUGCGUCCAGGAAACACGUUGUGCCAGUCACAGCCUCUUACUGGCUGACGGUGGCCAGUGAAACUGACAGUGUGCAGGUGGAGGCGCUGCAGAGGGAAGUGUGUGCGCGAAACACUUACUGGCAGCAGCAGAGGCAGCGGGAGGAAGAUGUUCUCUCUGACCUGGACUUAGCCGCCUUCCAAUGUCUCUUUAGAGUUACAGAAACAAAGUCUCAUCAGGUCCAGUGGUCGGGGAUGCAGCUGAAGGAAGCAGCCAUGGAACUGCAGGGUUCGGCGCAGAUGGAAGUACAAAGGAGAGCAGCUCGGCGCUCCCAGUUGGCUCUGAUCUUGCCUCUGCAUGUAUUGCACAUCCUCACGCAGGGUGACGAGGAAGCGUGGGAAAGGCAGUGUGCGUGGCACUCAGAGCUUGUGGCAGGCCUUGAUAAGCUGGAUGUAAGUAUGGAGCAGCUGCAACAAGACCAAGAAAAAUGGACAGCACAAGGAGGAGACUGGGCUUCAACCAUGCAUGCUACGGACAGAGAGCUGAGACAGCGAGAGUUGUGGGAGCAGUGUUGCUCCAGACUGACAGAGUUGGAAGCUGCUCUUAACGCACUGCAUUCUGUCAGACACCUCUCUCAACUCCGCGCAGACACUGCUCAGGCAGUGCUGUGUGGAAACUUUUGGUACAGGGAAUAUGGUCUGGUCAAGUGCAGUGGACACAGGCCGACUGUGGAGCGCAGGGGUUUGCUUCAACAGAUGGCUUUGCCUCUGCUGGAGAGACUGAACAAGCUCCUGGAAGACAAACAGCCUACCAGCUCCUCUCCCAACACCUGCAAUCAGCACAUUUCUGGUUUGUCGACAAAGCAGGCGUAUGGGUUGGAGAUAGCCUCUGGAGUCUGGACAGCCUCUGUUCCCAAAGUAACAGACACAAACCAGAGCUUCAUAGACGUCCUGGAUGCUCAGUGGGAAUGUGAAGGAGAGCUGAUCCCUUUGGACCUCUCUGUCCUUAACCCCAGAGAGCUUUUGGUCUACCAGCACGGACUGUUCCUCAUGCACACAUUGCAUGGUUUAAAACUGACACCAUCCAUUUCACUUCAGAUUGCAGCUAGUCUCCCAAACAACAGCUACCUAAAAAACGCCUUCAGAAACUCCUUCUUUUAUCAGGAGGCAGAGGGGACGCUCUUUGUCCGUCGCCAGAGGCUGAAGUCGGUUGGAGGUUUCUCCCUGCUGCUGCUCCACUGUCUGUCCCACAUCAAGAUACACAACAUGAGCUCGGACUCCAGUCCUGUCUUCCAGAGGCUUUUCUUCAAGGUACUGCAGGGAUGUUUGGGGGAGCUGUUUCAUGCCAGACUGGGUGUGACCUCCUCUGGACAGGAACACAGUCGGUCUGUGUUACAGGACCAAGAGACCCCAUCUGGAGUUUUAAAGAGGAGCCUUUCAGACUCCCAUGCUGCUUCACUGCUUUGCGGGUCUCAAACACCAAGCAGAGGAUUUCUGUCUGAAGAUGAAGUUGGGGAACUACAGAGGAAACACAGAGAGACCAGUCUGCUCACCCAUCUUGAAGGACUUUUGAGAGAGAAAAGCUCUCUGUGAGGGAAAUUCUUCUUCUUGAAAGAGAAGAAACAGGAGGGUUCUUUUAUUGCGAGCGUUAUGAGUGGCUCUUUUCAAAACUCUUUUUUUUCAGCUUCAGAAGCAAGCUGGCCACCCUAGACAAUGAAGGUCUCUAGAAUUUCUCUCCCCACAGUGGGUAAAAUUACCUUAACAUUAAUUAAAUUAGUUAAAGGAGGAGUAAAAAGGAGUAAAAAGGAGGCUUGCGCAAUAACUUCUACAAUCUAAUAGAAUCCAGC
ensembl:lncRNA